rnacentral:tRNA from 1 species
CCCUGGUUAGCUCAGUUGGUAGAGCGCUCCAGUGGAAAUGGAGAGGUCCCGGGUU